rnacentral:rRNA from 1 species
AACGCGAAGAACCUUACCAACCUUUGACAUGUCCAGUAUGGGUUUAGGAGACUAGACUCUUCAGUUCGGCUGGCUGGAACACAGGUGCUGCAUGGCUGUCGUCAGCUCGUGUCGUGAGAUGUUGGGUUAAGUCCCGCAACGAGCGCAACCCUCAUCUUCAGUUGCCACCAGGUCAAGCUGGGCACUCUGAAGAAACCGCCGGUGACAAGCCGGAGGAAGGUGGGGAUGACGUCAAGUCCUCAUGGCCCUUACAGGUUGGGCUACACACGUACUACAAUGGUGGUGACAGUGGGUUGCGAAGUCGCGAGACGGAGCCAAUCCCCAAAAACCAUCUCAGUUCAGAUUGCUCUCUGCAACUCGGGAGCAUGAAGUUGGAAUCGCUAGUAAUCGCAGAUCAGCACGCUGCGGUGAAUACGUUCCCGGGCCUUGUACACACCGCAUAC